AACGCUAGCUACAGGCUUAACACAUGCAAGUCGAGGGGAAACGACAUCGAAAGCUUGCUUUUGGUGGGCGUCGACCGGCGCACGGGUGAGUAACGCGUAUCCAACCUGCCCACCACUUGGGGAUAACCUUGCGAAAGUAAGACUAAUACCCAAUGAUAUCCCACGAAGGCAUCCGAAUGGGAUUAAAGAUUUAUCGGUGAUGGAUGGGGAUGCGUCUGAUUAGCUUGUUGGCGGGGUAACGGCCCACCGAGGCGACGAUCAGUAGGGGUUCUGAGAGGAAGGUCCCCCACAUUGGAACUGAGACACGGUCCAAACUCCUACGGGAGGCAGCAGUGAGGAAUAUUGGUCAAUGGGCGAGAGCCUGAACCAGCCAAGUAGCGUGCAGGAUGACGGCCCUAUGGGUUGUAAACUGCUUUUAUAAGGGAAUAAAGUGAGUUUCGUGAGACUUUUUGCAUGUACCUUAUGAAUAAGGACCGGCUAAUUCCGUGCCAGCAGCCGCGGUAAUACGGAAGGUCCGGGCGUUAUCCGGAUUUAUUGGGUUUAAAGGGAGCGUAGGCCGGAGAUUAAGCGUGUUGUGAAAUGUAGAUGCUCAACAUCUGCACUGCAGCGCGAACUGGUUUCCUUGAGUACGCACAAAGUGGGCGGAAUUCGUGGUGUAGCGGUGAAAUGCUUAGAUAUCACGAAGAACUCCGAUUG
rnacentral:rRNA from 1 species